UCCCUUCCCGAACUCAGAAGUGAAACCUCUUAGCGCUGAUGGUAGUGUGGGGUUACCCAUGUGAGAGUAAGUCAUCGCCAGCU
rnacentral:rRNA from 4 species